rnacentral:tRNA from 1 species
GCCGAAGUGGCGGAAUUGGUAGACGCGCACGGCUUAGGACCGUGUCUCUUUAUGAGGUGGAGGUUCGACUCCUCUCUUCGGCACCA